AUGAACGCUAGCGGCAGGCCUAACACCUGCAAGUCGAGGGCGAAGCCCUUUCGGGGGCAGAAACCGGCGCACGGGUGCGUAACGCGUAUGCAACCUACCUUUCACAGGGGGAUAGCCCGAAGAAAUUUGGAUUAAUACCCCAUAAUAUUAUUGGAUGGCAUCAUUUGAUAAUUAAAACUGCGGUGGUGAAAGAUGGGCAUGCGUCCUAUUAGCUAGUUGGAGUGGUAACGGCACCCCAAGGCUACGAUAGGUAGGGGUCCUGAGAGGGAGAUCCCCCACACUGGUACUGAGACAGGGACCAGACUCCUACGGGAGGCAGCAGUGAGGAAUAUUGGUCAAUGGUCGGAAGACUGAACCAGCCAUGCCGCGUGCAGGAAGAAUGCCUUAUGGGUUGUAAACUGCUUUUAUAUGGGAAGAAUAAGGCGUACGUGUACGUUGAUGACGGUACCAUAUGAAUAAGCAUCGGCUAACUCCGUG
rnacentral:rRNA from 1 species